rnacentral:rRNA from 1 species
AUUGAACGCUGGCGGCAUGCCUUACACAUGCAAGUCGAACGGCAGCACGGGAGCAAUCCUGGUGGCGAGUGGCGAACGGGUGAGUAAAGUAUCGGAACGUGCCCAGUCGUGGGGGAUAACGUAGCGAAAGUUACGCUAAUACCGCAUACGAUCUAUGGAUGAAAGCGGGGGAUCGCAAGACCUCGCGCGAUUGGAGCGGCCGAUAUCAGAUUAGGUAGUUGGUGGGGUAAAGGCUCACCAAGCCGACGAUCAGUAGCUGGGCUGAGAGGAAGAGCAGCCACACUGGGACUGAGACACGGCCCAGACUCCUACGGGAGGCAGCAGUGGGGAAUUCUGGACAAUGGGCGAAAGCCUGAUCCAGCCAUGCCGCGUGCAGGAUGAAGGCCUUCGGGUUGUAAACUGCUUUUGUACGGAACGAAAAGGUUUGGCCUAAUAAGCUGAGCUCAUGACGGUACCGUAAGAAUAAGCACCGGCUAACUACGUGCCAGCCGCCGCCGUAA